UACAGAGGUCUCAAGCGUUGUUCGGAUUCAUUGGGCGUAAAGGGUGCGUAGGCGGCGCGGUAAGUCGGGUGUGAAAUCUCGGGGCUUAACUCCGAAACUGCAUUCGAUACUGCCGUGCUUGAGGACUGGAGAGGAGACUGGAAUUUACGGUGUAGCGGUGAAAUGCGUAGAUAUCAGGAAGAACACCCGUGGCGAAGGCGGCUCUCUGGGACGUGACUGGACGCUGAGACGCGAAAGCGUGGGGAGCAAACAGG
rnacentral:rRNA from 1 species